UAAAGGAACAAAGAAGAUGCAAUUUAAUCUAUCAGUACAUAUAGAUUAUUGGUCAAGAUUCACUAGGGUUAACACUCACAUUUUUGGGUUUGUAAAUACACAGAAUAGCUAAGAUUUUUUUACAUGAAAGUAGAAGAGAAGUCCCUUGGGCAGAUAGCAACAGACAUGUGGUAAAUCCUAGGCAGACGCUCUGUUUGUGUCUGGUUGCAGCUGUUCUUUGAGGUGAUGGCAAGAGCAUAAAGGUGAGCUGGAAGAUUGGAUAGCAUGUAAAAAGUUCCUCCUACCCAGCGUCCAAUACACUUCACCCUUUGCACUAAUCACCUUCAGUCCUUCUGUGUUUAAAUUCCAAUACAUUCUACAGCCUUCAAGAUUGUGGCAUGCCUCAUUCUCUAGGAAAUAUUUAAUAAACAAAGUUAAUUGUAAUGAGCUUAAGUAAGUGGUUUUUAAGACCGUACUUAAUAUUUUUCCACUUCAGAAUUUUCUCAUUUUUAUCCAAUUCUUCAAAAUGUAUAGAUUUCUGGCAAAAUGGGAGUGGAGGGGGGGUGGUUCUAACUCAUUUAACUAAAGAGUAGGAGUCUUUAGUUGCCUUAUUCUUGUUAAGAUUUAGUUUUACAAUUGUUCAUUUACAGUUAUCAUUGGGCAUGAAACAUCCAGGAACACCCUAGGCAAUACCUUGAUGUACUCCAUGCUUCCACCAUUGUGUAGGAGCAAUCUCAAUAUCAUAUGGAUACAAUUAAGUCCUUUUCUCAGUGGUAGAAUUUUCUAGCUUUGGUCUGAAAAGGGGGUAUAGAUCUCAAUUUUUAAUAUGGCAGCUAAGUUAGACAUUUGCUCAGCAGCUUUCAAUUUUUUUUCUGGUUAGGGAAAUCAAUUAACACCUUAAUUAGCUCCCAUCUGUCUUAACAUUAAGCAAUAUUCUGAUCUAUUAGUCAUUCUUGCAGGUCCUUGUGGGUAAAGGCACCUGGUUGACUUUCUAAUCUUGAUGCUCAUUAUGACAGUUACUUUGAAACUAUUUCUGAUGAUAAGUGUUGAUCUUCUGGCCUCUUCAAUUACAGAAUCCAAGCCCAGUGGUCCUAGGGAGCUCAGUUCCAUGGCAGUGUCUUCUAAUGUCAGCUCUGGCCUAGAGAAGGAGGCACACCUGGGCUUCUCAGAGAUGUCAGCGUAUAUCUUAGCAGUUUAUUUUUUACUGUUAUUGAAAGAAAUACAAUAAUCUUUGCUUAUCUGAAGUUUCACUUUUCACAGUUGUAGUUACUUGUGAUCAAUCACAGUCUGAGAAUAUUAAAUAGAAAAUUCCAGAAAUAAUUCAGAAGUUUUAAAUGGUGCACCAUUUUGAGUAGCAUGAUGAAAUCUCAUGGUAUUUCACUCUGUCCCACCGGGGAUGUGAAUCAUGCCUUUGUCCAGUGUGUCCAUGCUGUAGACACUACCCACUCAUUAGUGAUGAAGUAUCCAUCUUACUUAUCAGAUCAAAAAAGCCAUAGUAUACAUAGGGUUCAGUACUAUCCAUGGUUUCAGGCAUCCACUGGAAAUCUUUGAACCACUGGCAAUGGGAAGCUUAUUGGAGUUUGGAGCAACAUUAUUCACCAAAACAAUAAGGGCCACUGCUGUCACUAAUUGUCUUCGUUUGGGUUACUUGGUUAAAACGUUCGUUUUGGCUUGGUUUCAUUGGUGGCUGGUCUUACACCUUAAAGCUCAGUUCGUUCCAUCUUUAGCAGAGCUCCUGGU
rnacentral:lncRNA from 1 species